UACGAAGGGGGCUAGCGUUGCUCGGAAUCACUGGGCGUAAAGGGUGCGUAGGCGGGUCUUUAAGUCAGGGGUGAAAUCCUGGAGCUCAACUCCAGAACUGCCUUUGAUACUGGAGGAUCUUGAGUCGGGAGAGGUGAGUGGAACUGCGAGUGUAGAGGUGAAAUUCGUAGAUAUUCGCAAGAACACCAGUGGCGAAGGCGGCUCACUGGCC
rnacentral:rRNA from 1 species